AAACAAAUGAUGAAAACAAUCAGUAUCUGAGUAAGAAUGACAUUAACAAAGAAAUCACUGAUGUAC